AGAGUUUGAUCCUGGCUCAGAACGAACGCUGGCGGCAGGCUUAACACAUGCAAGUCGAACGGGCAUAGCAAUAUGUCAGUGGCAGACGGGUGAGUAACGCGUGGGAACGUACCCUUUACUACGGAAUAACGCAUGGAAACGUGUGCUAAUACCGUAUGUGCCCUUCGGGGGAAAGAUUUAUCGGUAAAGGAUCGGCCCGCGUUGGAUUAGCUAGUUGGUGGGGUAAAGGCCUACCAAGGCGACGAUCCAUAGCUGGUCUGAGAGGAUGAUCAGCCACAUUGGGACUGAGACACGGCCCAAACUCCUACGGGAGGCAGCAGUGGGGAAUAUUGGACAAUGGGCGCAAGCCUGAUCCAGCCAUGCCGCGUGAGUGAUGAAGGCCCUAGGGUUGUAAAGCUCUUUCACCGGUGAAGAUAAUGACG
rnacentral:rRNA from 1 species